AACCCCUCAAGCUUGCAAACUGGAAGGCCUUGCCAACCAAUCAGCCAUUGGCUUCAGCCUACAUCAAAUUAUUUGGACAAGAAGUGGCUUUUGUCAAUGUUGACAAGACAGUCAUUGAAGAAGCAAUACCGAUUGUGACUGGACCCAAACCACGUGAACUGUUGAAGGCGG